ensembl:lncRNA
GCUAAUGUCUCAGUUAAUUACAUUGAUGUGUUUAAAAAUAUAUCUCAUAUGUGGUAGAUUUUCUGUACUUAUGUAUCUUUCACAACCGAUGUGAUAUGUGUACUGUGUAUCUGAAGCGACCAUUAUGCUGUUGGCUACACUGAAAUUUGUCUCAAUUCACAGGAGGAUGGAAUGUUUCCUCAGUAAUCAUCGGAGAAACUGUGCAUCUGUCCUGCCACUCACCCCCUAAACACACUNNNNNNNNNNNNNNNNNNNAGUUAUGUUAACAACACAUCAGCAUCCUUCUCUAUGUCUAGUUCUGCUUUCUGUCACCAAGAUGUCAAACUCUUACAAACAGGACAAUAUCUGAAAAAAAUAUCUGAAAAGGUGCAUGAACAUGUCUGUUUGUAGCAAAUGGUGAACCAAAAAUUAAAAAAGCUAAAAGAUGAUAGGACAGUUGCUAGUCCUCCUAGCUGAUCUAUUCUUCCUGGUCUAGGUAAAAAAAAAAAAAAGCAGGUGAACUUCACCUGGAGCCGAGAGGGUCAAAGGUCACUUCAUCCAUUCACAUCUUAUCCCAUUAACAGUGAGCUGCGUCUGUGUAAACCUGACUGGAGUGAAGGAGACACAAUCACCUGUUACGCCAAAUACUCAAGCACACAAACCCAAAAAAGUAUACAACUCACCUCAGAGACAACUUCUGACAUAGUUGUUAACGGUGUGCUGUUCCAGCUGCUGACCAUCUCAUGCAGUGCUGCUGCAGGCCUCAUCCUCUGCAUCAUCCUCACAGUAGUUAUUUGCAAAUGCGAGUAUGAUUAUAUUUGACUCUUUAACAGUUAUUACAACUCAGAUUACUUCAGUUUAUUGAAACUACAGGGGGAAAAUAAUAACAAAUAACUGUGACUGAUAAAAAAAAAAGUUUUUUUUAUAGUUAUGUUAACAACACAUCAGCAUCCUUCUCUAUGUCUAGUUCUGCUUUCUGUCACCAAGAUGUCAAACUCUUACAAACAGGACAAUAUCUGAAAAAAAUAUCUGAAAAGGUGCAUGAACUUGUCUGUUUGUAGCAAAUGGUGAACCAAAAAUUAAAAAAGCUAAAAGAUGAUAGGACAGUUGCUAGUCCUCCUAGCUGAUCUAUUCUUCCUGGUCUAGGUAAAAAAAAAAAAAAGCAGGUGAACUUCACCUGGAGCCGAGAGGGUCAAAGGUCACUUCAUCCAUUCACAUCUUAUCCCAUUAACAGUGAGCUUCUCUGUGUAAACCUGACUGGAGUGAAGGAGACACAAUCACCUGUUACACCAACUACUCAAGCACACAAACACAAAGAAGUACACAAAUCACCUCAAUAUAUGCUUCUGACACAGGUGGGUCAUUGUUACUGCCUGUCUCUUUAACCAGGACAAACGAGAGUACAGUGUACCAGUUCAGCAAAGCUGUUCAAUGGCCUUUAAACUUUCUAAGGAAAUGAAUUACAAUUAUUUCAUAAUUAUAAACCUGCUGCCGUGUAUCAUCAGCAUAAGAGCAUCAGAAGAGAGGAGGCAAACUAAACAAUAAAAUCCUACAUGAUUGUUAACCGAGAUGCUGU